rnacentral:sRNA from 1 species
AUUCUGCCCAUGCGGGGAAGGAUGAGAAGCUUCGACCAAGCUGCGACUCGAGCGCCAGCGAGAGAGCGUUGCCGCAGGCAACGACCCGAAGGGCGAAGCGCGCAGCGCUGAGUAAUCCUUCCCCCACCACCA